CAGGACAGGGAAAGGCGGAAAGAGGAAGAAAGACUGCUCCGUGAAAAGCUGCGGGAAGAAGAGAGAUACCAGCGUGAGCAAAGGCGUGAAAUGGAACGAAGAGAGAAGUUUUUGCAGAAAGAGUCUAUAAAAGUAAGUAAUUUUGAGAUUUCUGUAUCAGAGAUUUGUCACUUCUAUAGUUUAGGCAGGAGACGGAGUUCAUUUUCCUCCCUUACCUCCUGUAGGCAGAGAAAAUGAGGCUUAAAGAAGAAAUGCGCCGAGAGAAAGAAGUUGCAAGGCUUAAAGCGGCUAAUAUAAGGUUUCUUUAUCAGAGAUAUGGCACUUCUAUAGCUUUAGGCAGGAGACACAGUUCAUUUGCCUCCCUUACCUCCUGUAG
rnacentral:lncRNA from 1 species